rnacentral:lncRNA from 1 species
GUGUGUGGUAAGUGUGCGAUAUACGAAUGAGACAUGUAGUGUAUGCGGAUCGGUUAAAUAAGGAGGAAGAUCGGGUAGGGAGGGAGGUCGAUCGGGAAAGACAGGGGAUAGAUCGGUUGAAAGAUUAAAGUUAACUUACAAAGAGCAAAGACUCAACGUGGAGGUAAGGGGCAGAAUAUGAAGGCGAUAAUUUCGGAUGCAGGUAAGGAAGUUACAUUUACUGGGCGAGAUAUUCGGGAUUAUGGGCCGACGAUUGCGAACAAAUCGUACUUUGGGAUUACAUCUGUGGCUUAUAUAUAUAUAUAUAUAUAUUAAUUUAUUAAUUUUUUCAUUUUUACUUAAUAAAAAACUUUAAAUUAUAAUAUAUUUUCAUAUACAAGUUCUUGAAUAAAUAAUUUUAUUUUUAAUUUUAAAAAAACUAUUAUAAUGUGAAAAAUAAUCUCUGAGUUAUUUAUUAUAUUACCGUUCGCUUUGAAAUUAUAUAUUUUGUGUUAUUGUAUCAUUAAAAAUGAAAUUUAUGUAUAAAAUUACUAUUGAUAAAAUAAGUCCUUCGCGCCGUAACGGAUGUGGUAUGAAAAUUGUUCCUUCCCACGUUAAAAGUCAAUCACAUGUGAUGUUUAAAUAAAUGGUCUCUCCACCGUUCUUUAAAGCGAAAGCUUUGUUAUCUGUUCAAGUUUUAUUUGUAAAAGAAAAUGUUUUGGUUGAAAAGGUUGAGGGUAAGUGGUCCUUUUUUUUCUAUUCUAAUUGUCUAAUCAUUUUUAAAAAUAUAAUCCACACCAAUUAAUUGUUGAUUUGGAGAUGACACUUGAACGCUUAAGUUAGAUCUGACAGAUUGUUGAUCUAAAGAUAACAUUCGAACGCUCAAAUCAGUUAUGUUUCAUAAAGAAAUCUCUAUUUUACUAGGAUAACGAAAUGUGUCUUUAUUUGGACAUUAAUUUUAUAUUUAUAGGAUUUAUAGCAAUCAAGCACAUUAAUUAACAAUUAACACCGUAUAUUCAUAUUUGAUACAAUAAUCAAACCAUUAAUGUCGUAUAUUUAUAUUUGAUACGGCAAUCGAACCAUUAAUGUUGUAUAUUCAUAUUUGACACGACAAUCAAACCAUUAAUGUCGUAUAUUUGUAAAGCGAAAGACAAUCUGAUCCAUUAUUUAACCAUUAAUACCUGCUAAUUGUCCAUAAAUGACCAUUUACUCUGAUCGGUGCGCAGGAAUUAUUAUGAGCUUAAGAAAGGCCACUCAUGUUGUAUUAGAAAGUUUAUUUUCGAUGUGUUCUAAGUCUUCAUUCUUCUCUACACCGAGCUACAGACGCUGGGAGUUCACUCGGAAUCAUUCCCUAGGUGGAAGAGGCUUUGGUGAGAGCUACGAAAGCGUUCCUCAUCGAGCGGCGGACACUAGGAGCUACGGAAGCAUUCCCUAGGUCGAAGAGGCUUCGGUGAGAGCUAAAAAAGUGUUUCUCACUGAGUGGCAGACGCUAGGAGCUACAAAAGUGUUCCCUAGGUCGAGGAGGCUUCAAUGAGAGCUACGAAAGCAUUCCCACCGAGCGACGGACACUAGGAGCUACGAAAGCGUUCCCUAGGUCGAAAAGGCUUCAGUGAGAGCUACAAAAGCCUUCCUCACCGAGCAGCAGACGCUAAGAGCUACGAAAGUGUUUCCUAAGUCGAAAAGGCUUCGGUGAGAGUUACGAAAGCGUUCCUCAUAGAAAAGCGAAUGUUGGGUGCUAAAAAAGCGUUCCCUGGGUCUAAGAGGCUUUGGUGAGAACUACAAAAGUGUUCUCCACUGAGCGGCGGAAACUAGGAGCUACAAAAGCAGUCCCUAGGUCAAAGAGGCUUUAGUGAGAGCUACAAAAGUGUUCCUCACCGAGAAGUAAGCUUCAGUUAGCCAAGUGGUUUGUAUGCAAAGUCCUUUUAUCUACAUUGAAGAGAAAAUAAAAAUCCGAAUUUGAAUGGCCAGAAAAAUGUAGCCAAUCAAAUUAAUAUCAAAUUAGUUUAGGUUAUAAGGUCGAAAGACCAGGCAAGCGAGACCGUUCAGUCUUCGGUUGAACGUUUGAAGACCAAGAGUGAUAAAUCCAUAUUUGGAUGUGUCACUGGUAUGUUGUAGGUGCUUUACUGCCUUGUGACCUACAAAUUAUAUGAGGACGUUGGCUAUCAUAAUAUAAAUAGGCAUUGCUCGAGAUACAUUGAACGAGGGUAGAGCUGCCUAUUUGAUGCUCGCUCGAGAGCCAAGCCAUUGGAACCUGACAAGGCUGAACGUAGGUGGUCCAAGUGACCGAGUGGGGAGGGAGUGAACCUUCAUGUGCAUGAUAUUUUCACUCACGAAAAUAUGCAUUAAAAAAAAUAAAGUAAAUGCUUCAAUGUUUUAUAAUCUAUUUUUAUAAUGAAAAGUCAUUAGAUCUUGACAAGGCUGAACAUAGGUGGUUGGUUAACUAACCGAGCGGGAAGGGAUUGAAUCUUCCUAUGCAAGAUAUUUUCACUACAAAAAUAUGCGUUAAACAAAAUAAAGUAAAUGAUUCAAUAUUUUCUUUAUUUUUAUUUUUAUUUUUAUAAUGAAAAGUUAUUGGAUCCUGACAAGGCUGAAAAUAUGUGGUCCAAUUGACUGAGCGAGAAGGGAUUGAAUCUUCCUAUGCAAUAUAUUUUCAUUCACAAGAUGUUGGUUGGUAUAGAGAUUACACAAGUUUUCAUUGGUUGUUAUUCGUGAGAUUUCUAAAUUGUUAAGAUAUGGUUGUAGGAGUGUGAUAUGUGAUUUUUGGAAUUGUAGCUCAAGGCAUGAAACAUUGUUGUAAAUAAUUUUCAUGACCAGUAUCUAGUAUUAGUGUGAAUGUCAUGUUGUACUGACCAUGAGGUGUGGUGAUGGUUGUCAUUAGUUAUGUCUUCUUGUUAUAAUUUGUUAAAUUUGGAUUGUACCUUUUCUCUCGUGAGAGGAUAGAAAGGCGAAUCUCUUCGUUUCUAAAAGGCGGUAGAAUAGAUGAGUCUCUUCUCCUAUGAUGGGCAGUAGAAGGGACUGAGACUAGAGUGUUUCUCUUUCCUCUUUCGAGAGGGUAGAAAGAGAUAGAUGUCUCGCUUGUUGGGUUCUGGCUCGUGCUGACUAUAGUGUUCGAUGUGAAUAGCAUAGGAAUUUUUAUUCAUAAGUCUUUGAGAAGCAAAAGAGAUAGGUCCGAAGUUACGGUGACUCAAAUCGCUUUAGUUUGAAGAGAAUUGGUACAGUGAAGUAUGGAAGAUGACAUAUCGAAAUGAGUUGCUUUUAUUGAUGAUUGACAUACAUGGAAGAUUGAGCUUGUUAGACGAUUGAGCUCGUUGGACGAGACCUUGUGCUAUGCGUGAAGUUGAGAAUUGAGACAAGGAAAGACAUUUCGUAGAUAAAGAGAAGACAAGGGAAGCUUUAUUGCUCUUACAUUCUCUUUUGUAGUUCUUGUUGAGUUCUUUCUUUUUUUUUUCUUUCUAUCUCCUUUGUCACUGCUAGUUAUACUUGCUAAGUCACAGUGUGUGAGAAGGUCAUGUGUGAAAGGAGGAUAUGUAAGCUUGUAGUUCCACUGUGUGGUUAAUGUAAAAAAUAAUCUCUAAAUUAUUUAAUGUAUUAUAAUUUUUUUAUAAUGUGAGUCUAUUUUGAGAUUAUAUAUUAUUAUUUUUAUUGUGUCAUUAAGAAUGAAAUUUAUAUAUAAAAAUAC